rnacentral:lncRNA from 1 species
AUAUAUAUAUACAUAUAAAUAUAUAUAUACACAUGUGGCUAUUAAUUGUUGAGGUGUUGUGAAAUCCUCAGGACGAGGUGAGAGAUGGGAAUUGACUCCAAGUUCUCAGAAGGCUGAUAUAUUAUAUUAUAUUAUAUUAUAUUAUAUUAUAUUAUAUUAUAUUAUAUUAUAUUAUAUUAUAUUACAUUAUAAUAUAUUAUGUUAUGCUAUAUUGUGUUAUAUUAUGCUAUAUUGUAUUAUGUUAUAUUAUGUUAUAUUGUUACAUUAUGUUAUACUAUAUUACACUAUAUUAUGUUAUAUUGUGUUUUAUAUAUGAAAAUGGUAUACCAAAACUACACUAAAGAAAGAGAAAGGAGGCAUCAGAAGCUAGACAAGAAAUGACAAUAAAAACCCUAUGACUGACCAGAGUCCCAACACAGCUGGACUGGGAUUGGGCAUUAAUUAAAAACAGUUAACACUGAACCAAUCAAAGAUGCCCCUGUUGGUGAGCAACCUCCAAACUACAAUCUAAGCAAUCAGAUAAUUAUUGUUUACAUUUCUUUUCUGAGGCUUCUCAGAAGAAAAAUCCUGGCAAAGGGAUUUUUCAUAAUAUAUGUCAGUAACAUACACACACACAUAUAUAACUCUGAGCUUCAUAUAAGGUGUUAGCAGUUCUCCUCACAGCUCAGCCCCACAGAACAAUCCUUUCCCCUCCUCAGCCCCACAGAACAAUCCUUUCCCUCUCCUCAGUCCCACAGAACAAUCCUUUCCUCUCCUCAGCCCCACAGAACAAUCCUUUCCUCUCCUCAGCCCCACAGAACAAUCCUUUCCUCAGUCCCACAGAACAAUCCUUUCCUCUCCUCAGUCCCACAGAACAAUCCUUUCCUCUCCUCAGUCCCACAGAACAAUCCUUUCCUCUCCUCAGCCCCACAGAACAAUCCUUUCCCCUCCUCAGCCCCACAGAACAAUCCUUUCCUCUCCUCAGCCCCACAGAACAAUCCUUUCCUCUCCUCAGUCCCACAGAACAAUCCUUUCCUCACAGUUCAGCCCCACAGAACAAUCCUUUCCUCUCCUCAGCCCCACAGAACAAUCCUUUCCCUCUCCUCAGCC